AACGAACGCUGGCGGCAUGCCUAACACAUGCAAGUCGAACGAAGUCUUCGGACUUAGUGGCGCACGGGUGCGUAACGCGUGGGAAUCUGCCCUUGGGUGCGGAAUAACUUCUCGAAAGGGAUGCUAAUACCGCAUAAUGUCGUAAGACCAAAGAUUUAUCGCCCAAGGAUGAGCCCGCGUAAGAUUAGCUAGUUGGUGGGGUAAAAGCCUACCAAGGCGACGAUCUUUAGCUGGUCUGAGAGGAUGAUCAGCCACACUGGGACUGAGACACGGCCCAGACUCCUACGGGAGGCAGCAGUGGGGAAUAUUGGACAAUGGGCGAAAGCCUGAUCCAGCAAUGCCGCGUGAGUGAUGAAGGCCCUAGGGUUGUAAAGCUCUUUUACCAGGGAUGAUAAUGACAGUACCUGGAGAAUAAGCUCCGGCGUAACUCCGUGCCAGCAGCCGCGGUAA
rnacentral:rRNA from 1 species